CCCUGAUGGUGCAACCUGGUGGGUUCAUGGAGCGUCUGUACGCUCUCCUGUACUCCUUCCUGCCCACUGUUGCCAGCAUUGAGCCAAAGGCUGAGAGAUACCUGUUGCUGCUCAAUGGCGGGCUGAUGGCUCUGCUAGAUGACAUGUUUGGGCAGCAGCUGGCCUGGUAUUUUAACCGAGAGUCUCUGGUCACUGAGCUCUCCAGUCUCCUGGAGUACCACCUCGAGUACCUCAUGGCCAGCAUGUAGUCCCUCUCUCUCUCUCUCUCUCUCUCUCUCUCUCUCUCUCUCUCUCUCUCUCUCUCUGGAAUUGAGGACUUGAAGUGCUUCGUUGAACCCUGAUUAGUAAACACCUAUUAAAUUCA